GGCUCAGAUUGAACGCUGGCGGCAUGCUUUACACAUGCAAGUCGAACGGUAACAGGUCUUCAGAUGCUGACGAGUGGCGAACGGGUGAGUAAUGUAUCGGAACGUGCCCAGUAGUGGGGGAUAACUACUCGAAAGAGUGGCUAAUACCGCAUGAGACCUGAGGGUGAAAGCGGGGAUCGCAAGACCUCGCGCUAUUGGAGCGGCCGAUAUCAGAUUAGGUAGUUGGUGGGGUAAAAGCCUACCAAGCCGACGAUCUGUAGCUGGUCUGAGAGGACGACCAGCCACACUGGGACUGAGACACGGCCCAGACUCCUACGGGAGGCAGCAGUGGGGAAUUUUGGACAAUGGGCGCAAGCCUGAUCCAGCCAUGCCGCGUGCGGGAAGAAGGCCUUCGGGUUGUAAACCGCUUUUGUCAGGGAAGAAAUCUUCUGGGCUAAUACCUCGGGAGGAUGACGGUACCUGAAGAAUAAGCACCGGCUAACUACGUG
rnacentral:rRNA from 1 species